UUGCACCAGAAGCAGGUAGCUUAACCUUCGGGAGGGCGCUUGCCACGGUGUGGCCGAUGACUGGGGUGAAGUCGUAACAAGGUAGCCGUAUCGGAAGGUGCGGCUGGAUCACCUCCUUUAGA
rnacentral:rRNA from 1 species